GCAUUGGUGGUUCAGUGGUAGAAUUCUCCUCUUCCAUGCAGGAGACUUGGGUUCGAUUCCUGGCCAAUGGA
rnacentral:tRNA from 1 species